GCGUGAGUGAUGAAGGCCUUCGGGUUGUAAAGCUCUUUCACCGAUGACGAUAAUGACGGUAGUCGGAGAAGAAGCCCCGGCUAACUCCGUGCCAGCAGCCGCGGUAAUACGGAGGGGGCUAGCGUUGUUCGGAAUCACUGGGCGUAAAGCGUACGUAGGCGGAUUGCCAAGUUGGAGGUGAAAGCCCAGGGCUUAACCCUGGAACUGCCUUCAAAACUGGCGAUCUAGAGGAUGGUAGAGGUGAGUGGAAUUCCGAGUGUAGAGGUGAAAUUCGU
rnacentral:rRNA from 1 species